rnacentral:lncRNA from 10 species
GUAAACUCCACCUUACGUGACGGUUUCACUGGAAGCAAAGGUUCUGAUAUUCUGGAAGUGGGCUUCAGUUACCCUGUAGUGCUCCUGGGUAGCCCCAAGUCCUCUGAACCCUCAGAGUUGACACCUGAGGACCAUCCCUAACGGUAUAGGCCUCGCCACCUUCUCACGCCCUGUUUUUAUAAGGCUGGGUGGUUCCUAAAAUAUUAAUAUUUCAGCCAAUCUGGUAUCCUGAAUGCUUGAAUUUCAUUACUGAGAACCCACCGAUGCCAUGCUCUGGGAUUAUUCGUGGGGCCUGCUAUAGAGCAGGCUCUGGAGAGCUGAAGCAGGCCUGACCAGGAGUGUGGCCGCCCGACCACCUCUGCCCACCAGGUAUGAGCUCCUGGUCAGGACAAGCAGCUGCCUCUGUGCGUUAGCUUGGGCUUAAACUGGCUCCUCCCCGCCUUAAAUACUCCAGCAUAUUCUUUAAAGAUCACAGGAAGUUGCCCAGGGGCCACUUGCCUAUUUCUCUGUUCUCGCUGAUGACCUCAGGACAAUUUUGUUCUGUUUCAAUUUGGCUUUUUGUUUGCCCCAGUCCCUGUCAUCCCUGGGCCACUGUUAGGAGGUGUGAGCUUAUCUGCUCGUGCCUGGGCCCCUGACUUUCCCUGCUCCUUCCAAGUGGCUUUUUAAGUAGCAGCCCCCGCUGCAACCCAGGGGAGCCUCAGCUCCUUCCUACGCUCUUGAGGCCUCUUAUAAAGUGG